rnacentral:rRNA from 1 species
UACGAAGGGGGCUAGCGUUGCUCGGAAUUAUUGGGCGUAAAGGGCUCGUAGGCGGUUUGUCGCGUCGGGAGUGAAAACUCAGGGCUCAACCCUGAGCGUGCUUCCGAUACGGGCAGACUAGAGGUAUGCAGGGGAGAACGGAAUUCCUGGUGUAGCGGUGGAAUGCGCAGAUAUCAGGAGGAACACCGGUGGCGAAGGCGGUUCUCUGGGCAUUACCUGACGCUGAGGAGCGAAAGCAUGGGGAGCGAACAGG